rnacentral:rRNA from 1 species
UAGGACACUCUAUACGGAGUUACAAAGGACGACAUUAGACGAAUCAUCUGGAAAGAUGAAUCAAAGAAGGUAAUAAUCCUGUAGUCGAAAAUGUUGUCUCUCUUGAGUGGAUCCUGAGUACGACGGAGCACGUGAAAUUCCGUCGGAAUCUGGGAGGACCAUCUCCUAAGGCUAAAUACUCUCUAGUGACCGAUAGUGAACCAGUACCGUGAGGGAAAGGUGAAAAGCACCCCGGAAGGAGAGUGAAAUAGAACCUGAAACCGUGUGCUUACAAGUAGUCAGAGCCCGUUAAUGGGUGAUGGCGUGCCUUUUGUAGAAUGAACCGGCGAGUUACGAUUUGAUGCAAGGUUAAGCAGUAAAUGUGGAGCCGUAGCGAAAGCGAGUCUGAAUAGGGCGUUUAGUAUUUGGUCGUAGACCCGAAACCAGGUGAUCUACCCUUGGUCAGGUUGAAGUUCAGGUAACACUGAAUGGAGGACCGAACCGACUUACGUUGAAAAGUGAGCGGAUGAACUGAGGGUAGCGGAGAAAUUCCAAUCGAACCUGGAGAUAGCUGGUUCUCUCCGAAAUAGCUUUAGGGCUAGCCUCAAGUGAUGAUUAUUGGAGGUAGAGCACUGUUUGGACGAGGGGCCCCUCUCGGGUUACCGAAUUCAGACAAACUCCGAAUGCCAAUUAAUUUAACUUGGGAGUCAGAACAUGGGUGAUAAGGUCCGUGUUCGAAAGGGAAACAGCCCAGACCACCAGCUAAGGUCCCAAAAUAUAUGUUAAGUGGAAAAGGAUGUGGCGUUGCCCAGACAACUAGGAUGUUGGCUUAGAAGCAGCCAUCAUUUAAAGAGUGCGUAAUAGCUCACUAGUCGAGUGACACUGCGCCGAAAAUGUACCGGGGCUAAACAUAUUACCGAAGCUGUGGAUUGUCCUUUGGACAAUGGUAGGAGAGCGUUCUAAGGGCGUUGAAGCAUGAUCGUAAGGACAUGUGGAGCGCUUAGAAGUGAGAAUGCCGGUGUGAGUAGCGAAAGACGGGUGAGAAUCCCGUCCACCGAUUGACUAAGGUUUCCAGAGGAAGGCUCGUCCGCUCUGGGUUAGUCGGGUCCUAAGCUGAGGCCGACAGGCGUAGGCGAUGGAUAACAGGUUGAUAUUCCUGUACCACCUAUAAUCGUUUUAAUCGAUGGGGGGACGCAGUAGGAUAGGCGAAGCGUGCGAUUGGAUUGCACGUCUAAGCAGUAAGGCUGAGUAUUAGGCAAAUCCGGUACUCGUUAAGGCUGAGCUGUGAUGGGGAGAAGACAUUGAGUCUUCGAGUCGUUGAUUUCACACUGCCGAGAAAAGCCUCUAGAUAGAAAAUAGGUGCCCGUACCGCAAACCGACACAGGUAGUCAAGAUGAGAAUUCUAAGGUGAGCGAGCGAACUCUCGUUAAGGAACUCGGCAAAAUGACCCCGUAACUUCGGGAGAAGGGGUGCUCUUUAGGGUUAACGCCCAGAAGAGCCGCAGUGAAUAGGCCCAAGCGACUGUUUAUCAAAAACACAGGUCUCUGCUAAACCGUAAGGUGAUGUAUAGGGGCUGACGCCUGCCCGGUGCUGGAAGGUUAAGAGGAGUGGUUAGCUUCUGCGAAGCUACGAAUCGAAGCCCCAGUAAACGGCGGCCGUAACUAUAACGGUCCUAAGGUAGCGAAAUUCCUUGUCGGGUAAGUUCCGACCCGCACGAAAGGCGUAACGAUUUGGGCACUGUCUCAACGAGAGACUCGGUGAAAUCAUAGUACCUGUGAAGAUGCAGGUUACCCGCGACAGGACGGAAAGACCCCGUGGAGCUUUACUGUAGCCUGAUAUUGAAAUUCGGCACAGCUUGUACAGGAUAGGUAGGAGCCUUUGAAACGUGAGCGCUAGCUUACGUGGAGGCGCUGGUGGGAUACUACCCUAGCUGUGUUGGCUUUCUAACCCGCACCACUUAUCGUGGUGGGAGACAGUGUCAGGCGGGCAGUUUGACUGGGGCGGUCGCCUCCUAAAAGGUAACGGAGGCGCUCAAAGGUUCCCUCAGAAUGGUUGGAAAUCAUUCAUAGAGUGUAAAGGCAUAAGGGAGCUUGACUGCGAGACCUACAAGUCGAGCAGGGUCGAAAGACGGACUUAGUGAUCCGGUGGUUCCGCAUGGAAGGGCCAUCGCUCAACGGAUAAAAGCUACCCCGGGGAUAACAGGCUUAUCUCCCCCAAGAGUUCACAUCGACGGGGAGGUUUGGCACCUCGAUGUCGGCUCAUCGCAUCCUGGGGCUGUAGUCGGUCCCAAGGGUUGGGCUGUUCGCCCAUUAAAGCGGUACGCGAGCUGGGUUCAGAACGUCGUGAGACAGUUCGGUCCCUAUCCGUCGUGGGCGUAGGAAAUUUGAGAGGAGCUGUCCUUAGUACGAGAGGACCGGGAUGGACAUACCUCUGGUGUACCAGUUGUCGUGCCAACGGCAUAGCUGGGUAGCUAUGUGUGGACGGGAUAAGUGCUGAAAGCAUCUAAGCAUGAAGCCCCCCUCAAGAUGAGAUUUCCCAACUUCGGUUAUAAGAUCCCUCAAAGAUGAUGAGGUUAAUAGGUUCGAGGUGGAAGCAUGGUGACAUGUGGAGCUGACGAAUACUAAUCGAUCGAAGACUUAAUCAA